rnacentral:lncRNA from 1 species
AAAGUAUUAUGUCAACAGAAGUAGUACUGUAAGUGAGUGACGCCGAGCUUUGUGGUGCUGCCACAUAUAGUGCUCCUCUCACUGACCACCAAUGAAAGAGGUGCCCCUUCCGGAAGUGUAAUGGGGGCUGAAUAAAUGGCCUUGGGGGGCCACGUGUGGCCCAAGGGUCAUAGUUUGGGGACCCCUGCUCUAGGACCAAACAGAUGAGUCUUUGGUAAGAAACAUGUUAUUGGAUUUUGGUUUCUAAUCCAUUCUGCUAUCCACUUCUAUUUUAUAGAGCACAGGUGCCCCCUGCUGCCACUCCUCCCACUGCAGCCUGCCCUGACUCCAGUUGCCAGCUUCCAGAACGCUCCCUGAACGGUUCCAGGGCAUUCUUUGUCUAUGACUCAUUUAGGUUUGCAGACGGGAGUGAGAGAGGCAGGGGUGCGUGCGCAGAGGGUUAUAAAUACAGCCCACAGCGCCAGCCAUCAGACAUCACCAAGGACGCAAGGAAGAAAGGAGUGGAGAGGAGAGGAGAGGAGAGGAGAGGAGCAGAGCAGAGUUGGGCCUCCCAGCAUCCUCCUGACCGGGUGAGAUGCUUUGUAAAAUUCCUUUCAAUGGCAAAUGAGAUCUCCUACAGACUUUACGGGGAACUAUGCACCUGUCUUAGGAGUCAUCUGCUUCUAGCAUUACCAAACCUGGGGUGA